rnacentral:rRNA from 1 species
CCUACGGGUGGCAGCAGUGAGGAAUAUUGGUCAAUGGGCGCAAGCCUGAACCAGCCAAGUCGCGUGAGGGAAGACGGCCCUACGGGUUGUAAACCUCUUUUGUCGGGGAGCAAAGCGAGUCACGUGUGACUCAUUGAGAGUACCCGAAGAAAAAGCAUCGGCUAACUCCGUGCCAGCAGCCGCGGUAAUACGGAGGGUGCAAGCGUUGUCCGGAAUCAUUGGGCGUAAAGAGUUCGUAGGCGGCAUGUAAAGUCAGGUGUUAAAGGCGCAGGCUCAACCUGUGUAUGGCACUUGAUACUUGCAAGCUGGAAUGCGGUAGAGGUAAAGGGAAUUCCUGGUGUAGCGGUGAAAUGCUUAGAUAUCAGGAGGAACAUCGGUGGCGUAAGCGCUUUACUGGGCCGUAAUUGACGCUGAGGAACGAAAGCCAGGGUAGCAAAUGGGAUUAGAUACCCCGGUAGUC